AUGCAGUGUGUUGUUGAUUUCAUCAAGUAUCCUCUCAUCUUGUCAAGUUCAUGUUCAAUUCCUUCCAUUUACAGUCGGAGUGCUGCCCAAAUUAUAUCAUUCUUACUCCUUCUCUAUCUAGUUUUAACCGGAGUGGUUUCAAUAUCUAUCUUAUCACUAAACCUCUUGGUUCUCGUCGUAUCCCAUGUUCCUCUUCUAACAGAGUGCUUUCAACUUUGUUCAUCUUCAUUGUUUUCUUUCUUUCAUUUUGUUCGACCCCUCAAGGUUCGUGGUUUCACUCGUUCGUCAAAGAAGCAACUUAGUUUUACCUCUUCUCUUCCUCUUCCGUUUUCCCUCCGGUGCCAUCCUAGAUCUCGGGACGAGAUCCUCUUGUAG
rnacentral:rRNA from 1 species